rnacentral:rRNA from 1 species
AUUGAACGCUGGCGGCAGGCCUAACACAUGCAAGUCGAGCGGUAGCACAGAGAGCUUGCUCUCGGGUGACGAGCGGCGGACGGGUGAGUCAUGUCUGGGAAACUGCCUGAUGGAGGGGGAUAACUACUGGAAACGGUAGCUAAUACCGCAUAACGUCGCAAGACCAAAGAGGGGGACGUUCGGGCCUCGUGCCAUCAGAUGUGCCCAGAUGGGAUUAGCUAGUAGGUGGGGUAACGGCUCACCUAGGCGACGAGCCCUAGCUGGUCUGAGAGGAUGACCAGCAACCCUGGAACUGAGACACGGUCCAGACUCCUACGGGAGGCAGCAGUGGGGAAUAUUGCACAAUGGGCGCAAGCCUGAUGCAGCCAUGCCGCGUGUAUGAAGAAGGCCUUCGGGUUGUAAAGUACUUUCAGCGGGGAGGAAGGCGAUAAGGUUAAUAACCUUGUCGAUUGACGUUACCCGCAGAAGAAGCACCGGCUAACUCCGUGCCAGCCGCCGCGGUAA